rnacentral:rRNA from 1 species
UACGUAGGGGGCAAGCGUUGUCCGGAAUCAUUGGGCGUAAAGAGCGUGUAGGCGGCUUUGCAAGUCCGUUGUGAAAACUCGAGGCUCAACCUCGAGACGCCGGUGGAAACUGCAAAGCUAGAGUCCGGAAGAGGAGAGUGGAAUUCCUGGUGUAGCGGUGAAAUGCGCAGAUAUCAGGAAGAACACCCGUGGCGAAAGCGGCUCUCUGGAACGGUACUGACGCUGAGACGCGAAAGCGUGGGGAGCGAACAGG